AAAAAAAAACCCACAGAAUUCGAAGGCAUUUUGAUUUGAUAUCUUUGGUUUUGCUCCCAUUUCAAAAUCUCAGGGGGCAACGGAUCGAGCUCGCCGGCGGCGGCGGGCGAUCCGACUUACCGGCGCCGCCAGCGGUGACGGACGACUUGAGCAGUUAACAUCGUUUGGAUUUGGGUACACAAUCUCUUCAGAUAACAUGAACUCUCAACCUUUCCCAGAAUUUAGGAGGUUCUUGCUUCUGCUGUGCAGUCUUUAUCUUCAUCAAAUAUUUGAGAAAUAUUGUCCUAGCAAGCAUGUUGGAAAAGAGUGAGUGCAAUUUGGCAUGCAGUCAAACCAGCUGGGCAUUUCGCCUUCUUGGUAGAGAGAAUCUCAUCAGUUCUAGUGCUCUAUAAUGGAGUACACAUGCUUGCCUUCAGAGUUACUACGAUCGGGUUUUUGUGCGUCUUGUAGUCCCUGUAGUUCCUUUGUCAAGAAGAUACAUCAAAGCUAAAGGAAUGGCAUUCAAUAGCUUUGUCAAAGACCAUGACUUCGGAAAGUAGAUGGUACUUGGAUAAGCACCUUCAGAUGUACCUGCAAGGUUAUAUCUGUUUGCGUGCGUGUGGUAAUACUUCCUUUCCAUACGCCGGGCAUGCACGAUGCAUCUCACAUUUUCUGAACAUGUCUCCUACAUAACCAGGCUCCAGCUCACGUUUGUAUAGAGAGGAUUACACGACACAUGGAGACAAAUGAGGUAGGCAUCUGACAAACUCAGGUUAGUAUAUUGAAGAUCUAGAGCACAUAUAGUCGCCUGAUUUCUGAGUUGUCUUUACAGCAGGUAGAUACUAUUAUGUUAUACUAUUAAGUUUGUAGCUGCUCGUAUUUCCAUCACACACUUUGAAUGCAAACCAAAAAGAAAAAAAGAUCGGUGAAUCCUAUAAAACAUGGGUAGGACAUGACAUGAAAACAAACGAAGAACUAUUAACAUUCUUUACUAGGUGUUUUUAUUUUGUUUUAACAUAAGCGAAGCAUUAUGGAAUAUAGUGUUAGGGCUCAUUUGUUUUGAUGGAAAAACAAAAGAAUUGAAUUUAUAAGGAAUAAUUCAUAUGAGUGUCAUUCAGUUUGUAGGAAUGAAGUAUAUGAACCAAGAAAAUGCUCUUUUCCUAUGAAUGGUCGAGAGAAAACAAAGGAAAUUUUACCUCCGCUCCAACUUGUUAGAAAAAAAGUUCAUAUGGCUUGGUAUGUGCAUAUAUUUAUAUUCCUUUACUUUUUCUAUUUUUAUUUUUAUGAGUUAAAAUUCAUUUAAAAUUCAUCGAAACCGAACCAUCC